rnacentral:rRNA from 1 species
UACGAGGGGGGUUAGCGUUGCUCGGAAUGACUGGGCGUAAAGGGCGCGUAGGCGGAUGGCACAGUCAGAUGUGAAAUUCCCGGGCUUAACCUGGGGGCUGCAUUUGAUACGUGUUGUCUUGAGUUCGGAAGAGGGUCGUGGAAUUCCCAGUGUAGAGGUGAAAUUCGUAGAUAUUGGGAAGAACACCGGUGGCGAAGGCGGCGACCUGGUCCGACACUGACGCUGAGGCGCGAAAGCGUGGGGAGCAAACAGG